CGCUCACGCCUCUCCCUCCACACCUCCCGGCAAGCUGAGGGAGUAGGCUCUGGCCUUGGCCAGCCCAGAAAGGGGCUCCCAUAGUGCAGCGGUGGGCUGAAGGGCUCCUCAAGUGCCGCCAAAGUGGGAGCCCAGGCAGAGGAGGCGCCGAGAGCGAGCGACGGCUGUGAGGACUGCCAGCACGCUGUCACCUCUCACAGGGAACUGUGAAGACUAGAGUGACCUUGGAGAUCUCAUCUGGAAGAUGGUAGAACUGCUAUCAGCCUGGCUUCCCAAAUGACCUCCUGGAUCACAGCUACCCAUGGCCUGAAAUGUUGACCUUGGAGUUGUUGCAUAGGAAAGAAAUAAACUUCUUUGUUCUUUGAGCCACAUAGUUAUCACAUAUCUUCUUAAAGCCACUUACCCACUUGUUCUAUCUCAUUCAGCUCUGAAAUUCUGUUUAAUUUCUAGAGUCAAAACAUUCAUUUGUUUCUUCUUUAUUUAACAAGAAUCAAUUACUUAUUUUAUGGAAGCCACUAUUCCAAAGAGAAGAAUCAUAAAAACAUUAGCCUUAUGGAUCUUUUGUCCUGGGAACAACACAGAGUGGAGACUACUGGAAUUUUUAAUAAAGUUCCUUUCCUGGGCAGUGCCAGUCCAGACCUAAUUUCCAGACUUAGUUAAGAUUAGACCAGUGUGCUGAAGAAUCAAAACAUCUAGAUAUUUUCCUUGCUCCAUUCUGCUUACAGCCCCACAAAAACUACUCACCCCACAGGGUUUCUUGCUUGAGAUUCCAGACAAUUCCUGUAUGUUUUAUUAGAAUACACUCUGUGUUUCAUCCAACUAGGAAGCCUUUGGCUCCGACUUAAAGCAUUAAGAACGGACCACUUUGGUAUGGAAAAUUAUCAGUUUUGGGGGAAAAGCCCCUGUUUCUCUGAUCUGUGCUCUGAAUUUGGCAGCUUUGUAGGCUUUCUCAAAGAGCCGCAACUGUGAACCAUGUCAUGUUGUCAUUAUCUCUGAUAUGCUCUGUGCAUUGGAAAUCCUGUGUGAGACUGGCAGGGGACAGAGGGAAUGAAGAAAUCACAUUCAUCAGAACAAGCUGCUCAACUUCCUUAAGUAAGGAGUUUGUCUAACAUCCAGUGGUUUCCUCUGACAGAGUGUGUACUUUCUUAACAUACGGACAAGAUUAGUACAUAGCCAGAAUGACUG
rnacentral:lncRNA from 1 species